ACAAACUUGGUCAUUUAGAGGAAGUAAAAGUCGUAACAAGGUUUCCGUAGGUGAACCUGCGGAAGGAUCAUUGUUGAAUAGUCGUGGUGCUGUGCUGGCCUUUCGGGGCAUGUGCACGCAUUGCAAUUAUCAUUAUCUUUUUUGUGAACCAGUGUAGGCUUUUGUCUCUGACAUGGAUUCGGGCUUGAGCGGCGGCAACGCUGCUCGCCUUUGAGUUCUGACGAGGCGGAGUCUAUGAUUUAUAUAAACCUUUGUAUGUCCUUGAAUGUCUAUUUAUUGGCCGAAAGGCUAGUAAAAACCUAUACAACUUUCAGCAACGGAUCUCUUGGCUCUCCCAUCGAUGAAGAACGCAGC
rnacentral:misc_RNA from 1 species